rnacentral:tRNA from 1 species
CGGAGAGGUGGCAGAGUGGUCGAUUGCACCUGACUUGAAAUCAGGCGAGCCGCAAGGCUCCGAGGGUUCGAAUCCCUCCCUCUCCGCCC